GUGUUGUGUACCUGUUAUAACACACUGUCAACAAACCCGAUGCUUGUAGUCGGUCGGACACUGACCUGGUUCGCCCGUGGACGGAGAUACGAAAAAGCUGCACCGGAAGUAAAACCAGUUCAAAGACCCCAAAGAUUUACGAAUCACCAUGGCAACCACCACUACUGAUGCAGCAGCAGACAACAAGGAAACCCUCAGACUAGAAGAUGUGCCUGAGAUGAGGAAAUGUUGUGUAUAAGCAACUGCGACGUACUCUGAGGAGCGUGUGUUCUGGACUGAAGGGUCUGAGCUUCCAGAAGAGGAACAAUCAAACACAACAAUCCCCUCCGCAGGAAGCACCAACACUUGGUACAAACUGCCCAACAGAGAAUAAAAAGUUCCAAG